AAUGAACGCUGGCGGUAGGCCUAACACAUGCAAGUCGAACGGCAGCACAGGAGAGCUUGCUCUCUGGGUGGCGAGUGGCGGACGGGUGAGGAAUACAUCGGAAUCUACUCUGUCGUGGGGGAUAACGUAGGGAAACUUACGCUAAUACCGCAUACGACCUACGGGUGAAAGCAGGGGACCUUCGGGCCUUGCGCGAAUGAAUGAGCCGAUGCCGGAUUAGCUAGUUGGCGGGGUAAAGGCCCACCAAGGCGACGAUCCGUAGCUGGUCUGAGAGGAUGAUCAGCCACACUGGAACUGAGACACGGUCCAGACUCCUACGGGAGGCAGCAGUGGGGAAUAUUGGACAAUGGGCGCAAGCCUGAUCCAGCCAUACCGCGUGGGUGAAGAAGGCCUUCGGGUUGUAAAGCCCUUUUGUUGGGAAAGAAAUCCAGCUGGCUAAUACCCGGUUGGGAUGACGGUACCCAAAGAAUAAGCACCGGCUAACUUCGUGCCAGCAGCCGCAGUAA
rnacentral:rRNA from 1 species